GAUGAACGCUAGCGGCAGGCCUAAUACAUACAAGUCGAGGGGUAUGGGUUGCUUGCAACCCAGAGACCGGCGCACGGGUGCGUAACGCGUAUGCAAUCUACCUUAAUCAGGGGGAUAGCCCGGAGAAAUCCGGAUUAACACCGCAUAACAUUGAGUUGUGGCAUCACAGUUCAAUCAAAUAUUUAUAGGAUUAAGAUGAGCAUGCGUGACAUUAGUUAGUUGGUGAGGUAACGGCUCACCAAGACCACGAUGUCUAGGGGAUCUGAGAGGAUGACCCCCCACACUGGUACUGAGACACGGACCAGACUCCUACGGGAGGCAGCAGUAAGGAAUAUUGGUCAAUGGGCGCAAGCCUGAACCAGCCAUGCCGCGUGCAGGAAGACGGCCCUAUGGGUUGUAAACUGCUUUUGUACCGGAAUAAACCUUCUCUUGCGAGAGAAGCUGAACGUACGGUAAGAAUAAGGAUCGGCUAACUCCGUG
rnacentral:rRNA from 1 species